rnacentral:rRNA from 1 species
CCUAAAGACAGAUGGUAUGCUCCAUCUAAGGCUAAAUAUCACUGUGAGACCGAUAGCAAACAAGUACCGUGAGGGAAAGUUGCAAAGAACUUUGAAGAGAGAGUUCAAUAGGACGUGAAACCGCUUGCAGGGAAACAGAUGGACCCACGAAGUCCUGUUGUGUUUUGUGUGAUUUAUUACACAUUACACACGCCGGAGCUCUGACCUCUUGUUAAGGGUUGUUCGCUUUGUUAAGAGUAGAGAAUAAAUAGUUAGAUACUGUGCGUAUCAUCUAGUUAUUUGUCUCUUAGCACGUCUAACCUGUAUUGAGAGGGUGAACUGCGUGCACACAUUAGUGUGUUACGUUGCAGAUUGCUGAUGUGUUAAAUGAAGGGAAUAGAGAUCGUUGGUUAUAGAGGAACGUCAAACUCUCAUCGAGAGGGAGAACUCUUUAACGUCUUGCUUCGAUCUCUAACAAAAUUCUCAUCUAAACACUAUCUGUACAGUAAUCCAGAGUAAGUAGGUCGGCAUCCAUCUGA